UUAACCCAUUUAACAAUUCAACCCAUCAAAUGAAAUGAGUUAUGGGUUAGACCCAACUCAUUUAACAAAAUGAGUUGGGUCUAACCCAUAACUCAUUUAAUUAUAAACUCAUUUGAUUAUGAGU